GGAGCGGUAGUUCAGUCGGUUAGAAUACCUGCCUGUCACGCAGGGGGUCGCGGGUUCGAGUUCCGCCACUAUUCA
rnacentral:tRNA from 1 species